UGACAGAGGUGGGACAGUUUCUAUAAAAGCUUGAGCCUGGCGCGUGUUCGUUCUUUUGGGGUCGAGUGCGAGGCAGUAUGACUGUGUGUUUGGUUAUACCAUGUGCUACUAACCAGGGGAGAACUAGGCUACGAAGGUAUCUUUGAGGGCCGGCCGAACGCUGCAGGUCGGCCAGGUCCCCGGGCGUCCAGCCCUGGCCUACGCUCCACUUUGUCCCUGAGCGUUUAAACGUUACUUCCUGAAUCUCAGACCCACAGCUCCUUGCAGGUUUCAUCGUGAGCCGGCUGCAGAUUUUGAACCUAAGUAAACCUCAGUCCGGAGGGCCUAGUGGUAAGGUGGGCGCUGUGUCUAUCUGAAGCGCUUAGCAAUAAAACAAAGGCAAGAUGGAGUCUCUCCAUGUUGUCCAGGCU